GUCCCGGGGGGGAUUAGCAAUUUACCCCAAACAUAGACCUAUGAUAUACCCAAAAAUCAGAGGAAGAGGGAUGGAACUCGAGCAGCUGUAGUAGGAGACCCAGAUUGAUUCAUCGCCAUGGUCUCUCUCUCUCUCUCUGAUGACUGCAUCCAAAUAGCGAAGAGAUCAAAUCCUUACAACUCGAUGUUGGAAGAAUUCGAUUUGUACUCGACAAAUGAGGACGACGAAGGCAGCCACGAUGGCAAUGAUGACGAUAUCGACGACGAAGAAGACGGCAAUGAAGGCAAAGGACAGAUUAAGUUUGAAUAGUCUUAAGAUGCUCCUUUUCGCCCAUGGAGUUUAAGAGAUGAGCUCGGGUUUCUCGUUAAAUGUGGAAGGGAAAAGUUGAUUAUAAUUGCUACAAAAUUCUUGAAAAUACGUCUACGAGUUCCGACAUGUGGCAACUGGUCUUUGUGGACUCUGAUUUCAGAUGUUCUCUCCCACCUUAAAUCUGAGUUUUCCUCUCCUACCCUAGCACACAUGGACAAAAUCACUCUUAAGAAAAAUCAAAUGGGGACAAAACGGUAAUUGUAUAAAGCAUCCGGCAUGGCUGAUUGUGAAACACUAUGCUUCCGCUGGAAGAAACAUGGUCAAAAAAUAUAAUGUGUGGUAGAACGCAGCGGAUGCAAGCAAUUGGGACUAUAUCUUUUGUUGCAAGGGCUGGUAUAAACUUAUUUAAGCUAUCCAUUUUACUUGCACUCUCCCUAAAAAGGUUGUAUGGUGAUACUUGCGCUUUGCUUCUUGGUUAUACCUAAUCUUGGUUCAAUUGAAGCAGUGGUCUUAAUUUCCUGAAGUUGUAGCAGAAUUCUAUGGCAUUACAGCAUUGGAAAUAACACCAAAUAUGGCUAGUGUAAGCACAUCAUCUCUCAUUUACGCAAGUCAAACUCAUACAUGUUACAUUUUUAAAAAAACUUAGUGCAUAGUCAAUGCAGGAGCAACUUCCACUUGGCCAAGAAUAGUUUUUAUGGCAUCUGGUUUACUGAACAUAUUAACUAUUGUUUUGCAUCUGUAUUAUUCACUUAGGUUUUACAAGCAUCUAAAAUAGAUUACACCGAAUGGGACCUAAUGUAAAAGUCUAAGGGUGAUUUCUGUUUUGACAUUUAACAAGGUCUUGCGCACUGAUAGUUUCGUAUUUCUACUAAUGAUAUAUUGAAAUGCAUUGGGUAGUUUGCUUAACCUUGGUUGUAUAUUGGCAGCAUUUAAUGUUUGGUUGUUUGGAUGUUUAGCUCUCCCUCCAAAUACCCCAAACAAAAAAAGCAAAAAGGGAAGCUACAAACCAGAACCAUCAUCUUCACACCCAGCAUUACACAGUCCAGGCAACACUGCAACUGGAUAGCAAAUCUUUUAGUGUGUUGAAUUUGACUUCCAAAUACUUUCGCUCUGUCUAACUUGCAUAAACUUUACUAUGAUAGCAGGUCUUUUGCAGUUGUACAUAUAAACCUAUAAUCUGCACUUUGCAUAUAUGGGACAUCUAAUUCUUUUCUCUAUUACUAUGUGACCAAGUAGCUUAGGAAAUGUCUCCUAAAACCCAGAAUAUAGUGAACUUUUAGUCACGAUAGUUGCAUUGCGUCCAAAAUAAGUUAAGCGUUAAAGAACAGAGCACAAGCUGCGCAGUUGUUGCUCUACUACAGUUAGUCUAUUUUGAUUGUUAGAAUCACUUUCGAAGACAUGGUAUAGUUUCUUAUUCAGAGUUCUUAAUCAUGACAUUCUAGAUGUGGAAAUUCUUUAUUCUCUGAGAGUAAUAAUGUUUCUUUACGACAAAUUUAUGUUUAUUUCACUUAAUUGAACAUGAACAU